UGUUAUCAAACUCUUAAGACGACAAACAACCAUAGCUUUUGAAACAGUUGUAACAGCGCCUGAAGCGUUGGUACAAGCACAUAUAUAUAUACUCAGCCUGAAAGCAGGCUCUAUACAUACAUAGCUUUUGCGUUGCCAAAUUAGUGGACCUCAGCUGCAGGUGCAAUAGAACAGCUGACAUGCAUCAGCUGCAACAGAGUCGCAAUGCAAAGCUCGGUUUUAGCACCGCGGCCAACUUUGCAGACCCGUAUCCGAAUUCCGGACACGUUCUUUUCUUAAAAGGUUUUCAAAGCGUUAACACGCGUUUAGUUCGAGUGCGGCUCAAUAAGCCACAAAAAUAUACAUACAAGUGUUCUGGAAAAUCAAGUUGCAUAUCAUUUUGUGUUGGCGGCUGCCUAGGUGUUCUUGAAUCCUAUUGGAUUACAUAGCCGCAUUGGCCACCCGCGGCUGCAGCUAGAGCUGAGUUGCGCGGGCAUCGAGGGACUCGCACGACAAACACCUGAAGAUCGACGGGUUCCCACAGUGUCCCCAGGAGCACCCCCUGGCAGCCGCGCUUGGAGUCGCGCGGUGUCCCACCGCGUCCCCAGGAGCACCCCAGUAGUCAACCAGGGACCAGCAAGUCUCAUCGCCAGCCAGAGCAUGUGCCCAUGGAAAAUUACUCGACGGGGUUAGGGAGAGCCACAAAAUCUGAGUUUAGGCUAUCGCCGAUACACUGGGAAAAAUUAGUGAACACACGCGCUACGACAAUUAACUGAUUACUUCGCGACUUUUGUUAAACAUUCUAAGGCAUGUGAUUCGCCCAGUGAAGAAUUUUCUUUUACAUUUACCCCAUCCCGGAUGAGUGCUAGAUCGAGAGAAAAGAUUGAAAUUGAAUUAAUUUAAAUAUUAAAUAAAAUUUUUUUUUUUAACAGAAAAUGUAGACGUAGGUAAAACUGAAUAAGAAUAUAAGAAAAAGAUACAAUUAUGUAACGGUUCGGUUUUAGGAAUUUUAAAUCGAGAAAGUAACUGGUUGGCUAAUAUAUAUGAAUGCUCUGUCUUUAUGUAACCCUUUGCGAACCAGACUCGCUGUUCUAUUACAAAUACCCCUCGGGAGAUCGAUCUUUCGUCGUGAAGAGUACACAAAGUGAGUUAUUAAAACACAAUUUUUAUUCUUGGGUAAAUUUAUACUUGGCAUUCACAUUUAUUGAUUAAUAAAUUGGCCAGAUAAAAGCGAAUUAAAUUGAAGGUUUAAAAUAAACAUUGGUAAAACAUGUUUUGUCCUAAAACCGAAUGCGAUUCAAUAAUAGAAGAACGGUAAAAUUAAGAAUAUAAAUAAAUAAUAAUAUUAGGAAAAAAAUGAAAUUAAACCGCGAAUACACUGCGAAAAAUAAGAACAUCAUUUAGAACCAAAUUAUAACAAAAAAAUAUUUCUUUUGUACAGUAAGAACAUUUAAAAAUUAAAGUAAAAUUGAAUGAAUGAAUUGAAUGAAA